UACGUAGGGUGCGAGCGUUGUCCGGAAUUAUUGGGCGUAAAGGGCUCGUAGGCGGUUUGUCGCGUCGGGAGUGAAAAUCCAGGGCUUAACUCUGGACUGGCUUCCGAUACGGGCAGACUAGAGGUAUGCAGGGGAGAACGGAAUUCCUGGUGUAGCGGUGAAAUGCGCAGAUAUCAGGAGGAACACCGGUGGCGAAGGCGGGUCUCUGGGCCGAUGAUUGACGCUGAGGAGCGAAAGCGUGGGGAGCGAACAGG
rnacentral:rRNA from 1 species